rnacentral:rRNA from 1 species
UACGGAGGGAGCUAGCGUUGUUCGGAAUUACUGGGCGUAAAGCGCACGUAGGCGGCUUUGUAAGUUAGAGGUGAAAUCCCGGAGCUCAACUCCGGAACUGCCUUUGAUACUGGCAAUCUUGAGGCUGGAAGAGGUUAGUGGAAUUCCCAGUGUAGAGGUGAAAUUCGUAGAUAUUGGGAAGAACACCAGUGGCGAAGGCGGCUAACUGGUCCAGAUCUGACGCUGAGGUGCGAAAGCGUGGGGAGCAAACAGG